rnacentral:tRNA from 1 species
UUAUAAAGUGCCUGAAAAAAAGGAUAAUUUUGAUGGAAUUAAUCAUGUGCCCCCCCCCACCUUUAUAAUCUUA